rnacentral:rRNA from 1 species
CGGGACGGGUGAGUAAUGUCUGGGAAACUGCCCGAUGGAGGGGGAUAACUACUGGAAACGGUAGCUAAUACCGCAUAACGUCGCAAGACCAAAGAGGGGGACCUUAGGGCCUCUUGCCAUCGGAUGUGCCCAGAUGGGAUUAGCUAGUAGGUGGGGUAACGGCUCACCUAGGCGACGAUCCCUAGCUGGUCUGAGAGGAUGACCAGCCACACUGGAACUGAGACACGGUCCAG